GUUCCGNUAAUCNUGUCACGGCUCUCAANGAUUUUCUUACCANGAANNNGGAAGGNNAACANUACUNACNCAUGAUUAACACGUGGGUAACCUGCCUGUAACACUGAGAUAACUCCUGGAAACCGGAGCUAAUACCGGAUAGUUCCUUGAACCGCAUGGUUCAAGGAUGAAAAACGGUUUCGGCUGUCACUUACAGAUGGACCCGCGGCGCAUUACCUAGUUGGUGAGGUAACGGCUCACCAAAGCGACGAUGCGUAGCCGACCUGAGAGGGUGAUCGGCCACACUGGGACUGAGACACGGCCCAAACUCCUACGGGAGGCAGCAGUAGGGAAUCUUCCGCAAUGGACGAAAGUCUGACGGAGCAACGCCGCGUGAGUGAUGAAGGUUUUCGGAUCGUAAAGCUCUGUUGUUAGGGAAGAACAAGUGCAAGAGUAACUGCUUGCACCUUGACGGUACCUAACCAGAAAGCCACGCUAACUACGUGCCAGCAGCCGCGGUAAUACGUAAGUGGCAAGCGUUGUCCCGAAUUAUUGGGCGUAAAGGCUCGCAGCGUUUC
rnacentral:rRNA from 1 species